UACUAUGGAGAGUUUGAUCCUGGCUCAGGAUGAACGCUAGCGGCAGGCUUAAUACAUGCAAGUCGAGGGGCAGCGCGGAUAGCAAUAUCUGGCGGCGACCGGCGCACGGGUGCGUAACGCGUAUGUAAUCUACCUAUAACUGGGAAAUAGCCCCGAGAAAUCGGGAUUAAUGUCCCAUAGUAUUGAGAGGUGGCAUCACCAUUCAAUUAAAGAUUUAUUGGUUAUAGAUGAGCAUGCGUGCCAUUAGUUUGUUGGUGAGGUAAUGGCUCACCAAGACUACGAUGGCUAGGGGUUCUGAGAGGAUGAUCCCCCACACUGGUACUGAGACACGGACCAGACUCCUACGGGAGGCAGCAGUAAGGAAUAUUGGGCAAUGGGCGCAAGCCUGACCCAGCCAUGCCGCGUGAAGGAUGACAGCCCUCGUGGUUGUAAACUUCUUUUAUACGGGAAUAACCCUCCGAACGUGUUCGGAGCUGAAGGUACCGUAAGAAUAAGGAUCGGCUAACUCCGUGCCAGCAGCCGCGGUAAUACGGAGGAUCCAAGCGUUAUCCGGAUUUACUGGGUUUAAAGGGUGCGUAGGCGGAUUGAUAAGUCAGUGGUGAAAGCCCGCAGCUCAACUGCGGAACUGCCAUUGAUACUGCCAGUCUGGAGUGUGGUUGAGGUAGCUGGAAUGUGUCAUGUAGCGGUGAAAUGCUUAGAGAUGACACAGAACACCGAUUGCGAAGGCAGGUUACCAAGCCAUUACUGACGCUGAGGCACGAAAGCGUGGGGAUCAAACAGGAUUAGAUACCCUGGUAGUCCACGCCGUAAACUAUGAUUACUCGUUGUUGGCAAUAUACUGUCAGUGACUGAGCGAAAGCAUUAAGUAAUCCACCUGGGGAGUACGUUCGCAAGAAUGAAACUCAAAGGAAUUGACGGGGGCCCGCACAAGCGGAGGAGCAUGUGGUUUAAUUCGAUGAUACGCGAGGAACCUUACC
rnacentral:rRNA from 1 species